rnacentral:lncRNA from 1 species
GUUUUGCAAAUGUUAGACCCUCAAUCCUUGUCUAUUUAUUUCCUCUCUCCUUGAUCACUACUUGAUCUUGAUCAUGCAUCUCCUUCUUGAUGAAUGAUCUUACCUGUUUGAUGCAAUACACCUUCUUGAUUUCUUAGUGAUAUUGCUACUCUCUCAUCCUCUGUUCAUUUAUCUCCUUGAUGUUUUCCUUACUUACUUAUCCUUGUAAACCUAUCUCUUCCUUAACUUUAUUUUCAGUAUAUCCAUCUUCCCUGGGGGCUACGGCCACGGGUACUUACUCCUCUUGGUGGAUCGGAAGCAUUGAAGGCCCGGACUACCUUGG